CGGAGGGUGCUAAGCGUUAUCCGGAUUCACUGGGUUUAAAGGGUGCGUAGGUGGCUUUGUAAGUCAGUGGUGAAAUCUCGGAGCUUAACUCCGGAAACUGCCAUUAAUACUGCUUAGCUUGAAUCAAGUAGAGGUGGAUGGAAUAUUACAUGUAGCGGUGAAAUGCUUAGAUGUGUAAUAGAACACCGAUUGCGAAGGCAGUUCACUAUGCUUGUAUUGACACUGAGGCACGAAAGCGUGGGGAUCAAACAGGAUUAGAUACCCUGGUAGUCCACGCCCUAAACGAUGUAUACUCGACAUCAGCGAUACACUGCUGGUGUCCAAGCUAACGCGUUAAGUAUACCACCUGGGAAGUACGUCCGCAAGGAUG
rnacentral:rRNA from 1 species